ACACCGUUAAGUGAUGAAUGAAAAAAUACAUAGAAACAAAAACAAUAGAAGAAAUACUAAAGCUUGUGUCUCUAUCCAUCACCCUCACCCCUUGUCUAGUUUUCUCACGUCUUACUCAUUCCUCCCACUGCAUCAUUUAUCAACCAACCAUUAACUUUCCCUGUCAUCUCUCUCACCUAGUUCUCUUCACUCCUUUCAUUAUUUUCUUAGCUGCUGCAUCACCAUGUUCACAAAACUAUGCCUUGUACUUGCUACUAACUAGUACUGUGGCCAGGCCCGUUCAAGAGGCUUUCAUGAUUGGUAGGAGAUUUCUACCUAAUCAUUUACUCCUUUCUGCUUAAAAUUAGUGUAUGAUAUUGUCUUGAACCGUGAACUUGUGAUUGAGAGGGGCUGCAUUAUUGUUCAAAUUUGGAGCAAGAUGGCUGAAAGGAAAUUGAAUAUUAACGCCCCUCUCAUGUCUGUGAGACGCUCUGCUGCUACACCACCGUCCCUAACUGAAGCAAAGAAGAAGAUAUUGGAGAAACGCCAUACUCUUGCACACUACAAAUCAGACAUGAACUCAGAUCAGGUAACAGAACCUGUUGCAGUCCCUUUCAAUUGGGAGCAUAUCCCUGGAAGGCGCAAGGGUAAUGGUGGAUCUGAGCCUCAACCUCCUAAGGCCACUUCCAUCACUCCAAGCCCAAGGCUUCCCCCAGGAAAAUCUAUCAAUGCUCCCAAACAGCCAUUGGAAAAGGAAAGUAAGGUUGCAAAUAGAUACAAGCCCUCUAAUAAAUCGAAGUCUUUCAAUGUCAGUGUGGUUAAAGUAGACAGUGAGAAAGAGAGAAAAGCAGACAAAAUUGUUGAGAACAGAAGGUCUAAUGUGGAGUAUGAUGGUGAUGGUGAUGGUGAUGACGAUGCUUAUUCCGAUGCCCUUGAUACACUGUCACCUACAGAAUCAUUCUCCAUGAACUGUAGUGAAAGUGGUGUAAGCGGGUUAGAGAAUAUGGAUGCAAAGAGAUUUGGAACCUUUUCCACAGAUCAACAAACUAGAGACUUCAUGAUGAGCAGAUUCUUGCCUGCUGCAAAGGCUAUGACUCUACAACCUUCUCAAUAUUCUUCAAAAAAGCAAUCUGUACUAGUAGAACAACCACCUAGAGAUGUUAGCAAAUUGAUUCGUGACGAAAAGAAGCCAUUGAUUAAUAAGCCUAACACUGAUAUUAUACCAUACACUGGCCAAUGUCAAGAGGAAGAAAGUGAAGAUGGUGAUAAUAAUGAGUGUGACAACUCUGCUGAUAUCACAGCCAAAGGCUGCGGGUUGUUACCUCAAUUACACAUUAGGAAUUCAUUGUGCUUAUUGAAUCCUGUGGCUGCGAUGAAAGUGAAGAACCAGGUUUCCUUGCCUUCAAUCACUGAGGUUAAGAAACCAAACAAAAGAAUUAGAUCUUUUAGCCCAGUUCCAGCUGUAAAGAAGGCUUGGGAUGCUAUUCACAAAAACAAAUCAGGCUCUGGGGCUGCAUCACCUGAUGCACAAGAGGGUAGAAAAAAAUGGAGUAUUGAAUCAAACAGAUUUACUUACUCUGGUGAGUUGCUUCCAGGUAGACUCUCUCCCUUCCGUCGUUCAAGAGCUGCUGCUACUGGUAUAUCUCCCAGUAGAAAUAGACCCCAAUCUCCCUUUCGUGGUGCUAAGGUUCUUGGUGAUUCUAAAGAGCCUGAAAGUUAUAAGUUUAGCAAGGUGAAAUUCCACAGUGGUGCACUUGGAAAUGUUCAAGAUGUGCUACUGACUCAAGGACCCAAAAGAACUUCAUAUUCAGGGAGUCUCACAAUUGAAAAGACAUUGUACAUAGAUACUGCCAGCACAGCCAAAUUAUCAUCUUUAAAUGUAAGUUCUUUAGAUAAUAAACGGAGGGUAGAUACUAUGGUUGCAGAGUUAGACAGAAGGGGGAAAGAAAGUAAUUCCUCCUUAGGAUCUUCUCAAGAGAUAAAACAAGUACAUGCUGUGGAGGAAAAGGACACACUUGAUAUUGAAGUGUUAAAGUCCUUGGAUUCCAUUCCACCAAGUUUGUAUAGUAUUUUGAAUCUCGCAGCCAAAGAAGGCAAAGAAAAAGGAUUGACAACUGAUCAAAAUAUUAGCCAAGAACUUGCGUCCUUGCAUCUUGUUGAAGGGACAUUCGCUGAAGAUUCAAAGACCAACACCCAGCAAAUUGUAUUAGCUAAUGAUCCAGGAAAAGAUGGUGCUGAAUCUGGUGUGUCUCCUCUUCCCCCUCCAUUGCCAAAAUCACCUUCCGAGUCCUGGCUUUGGCGUGCCCUGCCUUUAGUUCCUGUGAAGAAUUCUUUCCUGCACUCAAGUCAAGGUACUCAAUCUCAAGCCAAAAGGCAUGAUUCUAAUACAACAUCUGGUAAUCUCAAGUGGGAGACAAUAGUGAAGACUUCGAAUUUGCAUCAUGAUCAUGUACGCUAUUCUCAGGAACUACCCACGCAUAAAUCUCAGCACUAAAUCUUAGAGAUGAAGCUCAGUAAUCAUGUUAUGGUCCAAGCUAAAGGGGUCCUCUUUUUCUAAAUACACUUACAUGUAUAGAGAGAAAUCGAAAGUCAUUUUUUGGUGAUCAAUAAAAGUAAAGCUUCUUUUGGACUUGUGGGACUUUCUCAGGUUUCAAGAUUUCCUAACCUGCCCUAGGGAAGUGUAUAUCAGCUAGUAAUGUGUGGCUUUCAUCAUGUUGUUUUAGUCUUCUUCGCUUCUUUCUGCUUAAUCAGAGGAAUGAUCCUUUAGGUUCCCUCUCCUGGUGCCACUUAAUCUUCAGGUAUCAGCAAUUUUUAUUUAUGUCAGCUGACAUAAGGGAUUACUGUUUCCUUGCUUUAUUGGUUUUUCCAUUUUUUAUACACGAAGAGAAGAAUUCUUCAAAUAUUUUAGUUUGGCUUUCCUCAGCACUUUCAGAAGCUUUUAUCCAAGUAUGUAAAUCAGAUCAAUUCUGAGUUGAGAUAAAUUUCAGAUUCUCAUUUGUUUGGUGUAUUUCUCAUCUGAUCCUGUUUGCAAAACCUGGCACAGCAAUAGGGCAAAGUAUUGUCAUCGAUUGCAGCAGUGAUACAUUCAUGUAAAUUGUAAAGUAUAUAAAUGCUCUUCCGUUCAUGAUUUUCUUAAUCUGUUAAUUGAUUAUGCUAUCCAAAUGCCGUUUGA